AAAGUUGUAACAAGGUUUCCGUAGGUGAACCUGCGGAAGGAUCAUUAACAAAUCCAUAGAUUGCUUGGUGGUAUUUAUUUUAUUGCCAGCAAAAUAUAAAGCCGCCUGUGUGGGGGGGUGAUUUUAACAUUGCUACUCCUCAUGGGCCGUAACAUAUAAAUGCGUGUUGUGUAGACAGUGUGUGAUUUAAACAAAUUAUUGACAACUUUUAACAAUGGAUCUCUAGGCUCUU
rnacentral:misc_RNA from 1 species